AGUGAACGCUGGCGGUAGGCCUAACACAUGCAAGUCGAACGGCAGCACAGUAAGAGCUUGCUCUUACGGGUGGCGAGUGGCGGACGGGUGAGGAAUACAUCGGAAUCUACUUUUUCGUGGGGGAUAACGUAGGGAAACUUACGCUAAUACCGCAUACGACCUACGGGUGAAAGCAGGGGAUCUUCGGACCUUGCGCGAUUGAAUGAGCCGAUGUCGGAUUAGCUAGUUGGCGGGGUAAAGGCCCACCAAGGCGACGAUCCGUAGCUGGUCUGAGAGGAUGAUCAGCCACACGGGAAGUGAGACACGGCCAAGGCCCCUAGGGGAGGCAGAGGUGGGGAAUUUGGGAAAAGGGGGGGAAGCCUGACCCAGCCAUGCCGGGGGGGUGAAGAAGCCCUUCGGGUUGUAAAGCCCUUUUGUGGGGAAAAAAAGGCAGCAGGUUAAACCCCCCCUGUUUUGAGGGAACCAAAAAAAAAAGCACCGCUAAACUUGGG
rnacentral:rRNA from 1 species